UGGUCGACUUGCUUGCUAUGUUUGCUUGGAUGUUUGCUAACAAUAGGUAGGCGGAGUUUCAAUAUGUACUGGGAUUUGAUUGGACAUGAAUUGAAGUUAAUGUUUAUUGUCCAAUCAUAUUCCAGUAUAUAGUAAACAAACUACCUACCUGUUGUUUACAAACAUCCAAACAAACAUAGCAAGCAAGUUGAUCAAUGAUUUGCUUUGCAUGCUUUAAUAGAA
rnacentral:lncRNA from 1 species